rnacentral:lncRNA from 1 species
GUAAUUUUCCCAAACCAGUUCUGUGAAGGAUUCAUGACUACAACCCCAAAAUACGGCACUUCUGCCUGUGUGGAAACAACAGAAGCAGGAAGAUUACUCUCAUUUUUCUCUGGCCUUUUUCCCUUGAAGCAGACUAUAAAGAAGAAUCUGACCUUCCUCUGAAGGAAACCUUCAUUCCAGACAUACCCUCCCUAUAUCCAAAGAACAUCUUUAUCUUUAAAGACACAGAGAUGUCAAGAAGAAUCUGAACAAACAGGCUUUGCCAGAUCCCCCAGUUUACUAAUAUUGAACCAUACUCUUUUGUUCUUCAAUCAUACUUCUGCAUGAUGUCCAUAAAAAUACACAGUUUUCCCCAUUCCUUUUGGGUAUUUAUUCCCGAAAGCUUCUGUGUCAUGUAAAACUUACAUUAAAUAAAUU